UGUAAAACAUGACUUGGUGCUCCUUGCCUUCUGCUAUGAUUAUGAAGCCUCCCCAGCUGUGUGGAACUUGUUUCAGAACCACAUUACAUUCAGAAACAUGGAAGGGCCCAUAUAUGAAGUCCCACUCUGUCGCCAGGCUGGAGUGCAGUGGCACGAUCCCAGCUCACCGCAACCUCCGACUCCCUGGUUCAAGUGAUUCUCCUGCCUCAGCCUCCCGAGUAGCGUGAUUACAGGCACAUGCCACCACACCCAGAUACUUUUUUGGUAUUUUUAAUAGAGAUGGGGUUUCACCAUGUUGGACAGGUUGGUCUCGAACUCCUGACCUCAGGUGAUCUACCCACCUCAGCCUCCCAAAGUGCCGAGAUUAGCCACCUUGAGCCACCUUGCCUGACCAGUAAUUUCUCUUCUUAAUGCAUAAUACUCUAUUCAAUCCAUCAACUGUCUCCAAGCCUACACUAACUCUGUAGAGCUGUGAUUAGUUGUGGAUGCAUUUGUCUGUGCCUUUUAUCUGUGAUCUUAGAGCUUUUCACCUCUGACUUCUCUUUCAUUAGAUUAGAAAUCUCAUCACAGCAGGUUCUAUUUAACUGGCCCCUCACCCUAUGACACUAAGUAUUAUGAUGUCUCAAGUAUGAGAAAAUAAAUUGUUAAAUAUGAGAUCA
rnacentral:lncRNA from 13 species